ACACACAUCACUCCAGGGAUCUUGUUAAAAAUGCAGAUUCUGAAUCAGUAGGCCUUUGACAGAGCCAAAGAGUCUGCAUUUCUAACAGGUUCCCAGGUGACACCACU
rnacentral:pre_miRNA from 1 species